AGAGUUUGAUCAUGGCUCAGAACGAACGCUGGCGGCAGGCCUAACACAUGCAAGUCGAACGGGUGUAGCAAUACAUCAGUGGCGCACGGGUGAGUAACACGUGGGAACGUGCCCUUCACUACGGGACAACGUCGGGAAACUGACGCUAAUACCGUAUAAUGUCUCCGGACCAAAGAUUUAUCGGUGAAGGAUCGGCCCGCGUCUGAUUAGCUAGUUGGUGAGGUAAUGGCUCACCAAGGCGACGAUCAGUAGCUGGUUUGAGAGAAUGAUCAGCCACACUGGGACUGAGACACGGCCCAGACUCCUACGGGAGGCAGCAGUGAGGAAUCUUGGACAAUGGGCGCAAGCCUGAUCCAGCCAUGCCGCGUGAGUGAUGAAGGCCUUAGGGUUGUAAAGCUCUUUUGCCGGGGAUGAUAAUGACCGUACCCGGAGAAUAAGCCACGGCUAAUUCGUGCCAGCAGCCGGUAAUCA
rnacentral:rRNA from 1 species